CAGUGGCACCCAAUGCCCAGUUUUGUAACAGAGACCCCUAAGCCUUCUCUGUGCAGCUGGUUCAGCCACACAGCUGGGGGGAAGGAGACUCUGGGGCUGGGAACACUCACAACAGGAGAGCUGGAUAUAGCUGGCAGUGCAAGGAGAGACCUCUCAAGAGAGAGCAGCAGGAGGCAUUGCAAGCAGAUCUUUGAUGCUGCGGAUGAGAGAUGGACCCUGGUGAAAACUGGAAGCUGGAUGAAACAAACUGGUUGUCUCAUGGUGGGAUCCACCCCUUUUCCAAUGUGAAAGGAGACAAUGAGCUCUCCGAAGGUGCCCCAGCCCUCUUUGCUCUGGAUCAGCUGGUCAUCUACUGGAGGGGACACUAGGAGCUCUCAAACUUUGCAAUAACCAGUGUGGUCCUCCUUGUCUUAGGUCAACAGUGACUAACCAGAAGAAAAAAGAAAGAAAACAAACCACCCUUUCCUUUCUUCAUCUCCUCUCUCACAGCUUUAGCUGCUGGA